rnacentral:rRNA from 1 species
UACGUAGGUGGCAAGCGUUAUCCGGAUUUAUUGGGCGUAAAGAGAACGCAGGUGGUCUUUUAAGUCUGAUGUGAAAGCCUUCGGCUUAACCGGAGUAGUGCAUUGGAAACUGGGAGACUUGAGUGCAGAAGAGGAGAGUGGAACUCCAUGUGUAGCGGUGAAAUGCGUAGAUAUAUGGAAGAACACCAGUGGCGAAAGCGGCUCUCUGGUCUGUAACUGACGCUGAGGUUCGAAAGCGUGGGUAGCAAACAGG